rnacentral:rRNA from 1 species
UACGUAGGGACCAAGCGUUGUUCGGAUUUACUGGGCGUAAAGGGCGCGUAGGCGGCAUGACAAGUCACUUGUGAAAUCUCCGGGCUUAACCCGGAACUGCCAAGUGAUACUGUCGCGCUAGAGUGCGGAAGGGGCAAUCGGAAUUCUCGGUGUAGCGGUGAAAUGCGUAGAUAUCGAGAGGAACACCUGAGGUGAAGACGGGUUGCUGGGCCGACACUGACGCUGAGUGCGCGAAAGCCAGGGGAGCAAACGGG